CCGAGCCCUAACCUUGUUCAUUCGCAACCCCAAUUUGGGGAUUCCAAUUGGGGCUAAUUCAUAAUUUUAAAUAGCUUCAGGACCAAUCUCAAACUUCCUAAAUUUUCAAAGAAAACCCAUUUAUCUGUUUCUCUUUCAUUCCGUGGCUUUCAUGUUAGCUUUGGAACCCGCAUAUCUUGAAAUCCAUUUCUCUUUCUCUCGCAGAGCGCUUCCAAUGAGCCAAGUCCGUGAAGCCCGUUUAGCUGAUUGUUGAAGUGGGCUAGGUGAGGGAUUAUAAGUCCUCAGCAGUUGGCAUAGCAAAGGAGACAAAUUGCAAUGACAAAGGCCUAAUGCAGAGGGUGAAUCAUACAACGUGGCUGUUAUUUUAAGUGGACCAAAUGAAUUAUGUUGAAUGCAUCAAUAUGGACUAUAUGUCACCAAAGAAAACAAUCAUUUGAUGAUUUUCAGCUUGAUGUCAAAGGUUGUCAAGAUGUUUAAUGCUUCUUUUGACAAGUAUGUGAAAGUGGAAUUUCUUGAGGGUGAUUGUUUAAGAGAGAGAGAUUGACCAUUGAAUCUACUUUGACCAAUAUUCUGUAGAAAUUUAAACAGAUUAAGAUUUACUCCAAAAGGUCUGAAAGAGGAGAAUUUGUUAUACUAAUAGUGAUAUGAAAACAGCAACUACAAUGGUUUUUACUUUGACAUAAGUUUCCGAUUGUGCUUCCUUUCCUUUUGUACCUGGUUUAUAGUCAUAUGUCAUCUGCUACUGCUUAUUCAUUACUAGGACAAAUUCAUUUGCUGUUGCUUAUUGUUGUGAUUCUUGAAACCCCUUUAGCUGAUUGUUGAAGCAGGGCUCCUAGCAAGCUAGGGGCUGGAAGUGCCCCCAUUGAGCAUUGGGGGAGGUGGAGGUCUCUUCUGAUGUGAGCCUAGCAAUGGAGCAGUGUUGUGGCUCACAAAGGUCCUUUGACUGAAACUUGGAGAAGGGAUAUAAGUGACCGGAUUGGGGGCAGAGGGAGGGACUUGGUAUCUCAAAGGAGAGACACUGUGGCUGGCUAAGUCUUUUGUCGGAUAGAUGAUGGAGUGACUUGACUUUGCAAUGACUCAAACAAAUGGUUUUUAUUAACUAUAUUUUGCUCUUCUCUAUGGAACAUUCUGCUAGCCCCAUGUGCAUAUGCAUGUAUGCUUGUGAGAUGAAACACUGCUCUGAUUAUGAGAAGCAAAUUUUGAAGCCUCAUCUUGUUCUGUAAGUAUAUAUAGAGAUUUGAGAGCAAUUUGAUGGAGAAUGUCUUAGGCUUGUGGCUUUAUAAAGAGUGAUUUUUACCGCA